AGACGAAGGCGUGAUGCGGAGCGAAAUGAAGUAGUGAAGCUGCGGCCCCUUCCUGUCGAGAAAAGCCGCUAUCGUGUAGCAAGGGCCCGUACCGUAAACCGACACAGGUGGAUGAGGAGAGGAUCCUAAGGCCGGCGGGAGAAGUGUUGUUAAGGAACUCGGCAAAAUGACUCCGUAACUUCGGGAGAAGGAGUGCUGCGCAAGCAGCCGCAGAGAAAUGGCCCAAGCAACUGUUUAGCAAAAACACAGGUCUAUGCGAAACCGGAAGGUGAGGUAUAUGGGCUGACGCCUGCCCGGUGCUGGAAGGUUAAGGGGAGAGCUUAGCGCGAGCGAAGGUUUGAACUUAAGCCCCAGUAAACGGCGGCCGUAACUAUAACGGUCCUAAGGUAGCGAAAUUCCUUGUCGGGUAAGUUCCGACCCGCACGAAAGGCGUAAUGAUUUGGGCACUGUCUCAACAACACACCCGGUGAAAUUGAAAUACCAGUGAAGAUGCUGGUUACCCGCGCCAGGACGGAAAGACCCCAUGGAGCUUUACUCCAGCCUGAUACUGGGAUUCGGUAUUGCAUGUACAGGAUAGGUGGGAGGCUAAGAACUCAUGGCGCCAGCCGUGAGGGAGCCGAUGUUGGGAUACCACCCCUGCAGUACUGGGUUUCUAACCUGCGCCCGUGACCCGGGCGGGGGACAAUGUCAGGCGGGGAGUUUGACUGGGGCGGUCGCCUCCGAAAGGGUAUCGGAGGCGCUCAAAGGUCUCCUCAGGAUGGUUGGAAACCAUCCAGAGAGUGCAAAGGCAGAAGGAGGCUUGACUGCGACACCGACGGGUGGAGCAGGUACGAAAGUAGGACUUAGUGAUCCGGUGGCAUAAAGUGGGAUUGCCAUCGCUCAACGGAUAAAAGCUACCCUGGGGAUAACAGGCUUAUCACUCCCAAGAGUUCACAUCGACGGAGUGGUUUGGCACCUCGAUGUCGGCUCAUCGCAUCCUGGAGCUGGAGCAGGUUCCAAGGGUUGGGCUGUUCGCCCAUUAAAGCGGUACGCGAGCUGGGUUCAGAACGUCGUGAGACAGUUCGGUCCCUAUCCGGCGCGGGCGCAGGAUAUCUGAGAGGAGCUGUCCUUAGUACGAGAGGACCGGGAUGGACCGUCCGCUGGUGGACCGGUUGUCAUGCCAAUGGCACGGCCGGGUAGCCAAGACGGGAAGGGAUAAACGCUGAAGGCAUCUAAGCGUGAAGCCCCCCUCAAGAUGAGAUAUCCAUACUCGAAAGAGUGAGAGACCCCUUAGAGACGAUGAGGUAGAUAGGGCAGAGAUGGAAGCACAGCGAUGUGUGGAGUUGACUGUUACUAAUCGGUCGAAAGCUUGACCUU
rnacentral:rRNA from 1 species